rnacentral:rRNA from 1 species
GGGGAAUUUUCCGCAAUGGACGAGAGCCUGACGGAGCAACGCCGCGUGAGGGAGGAAGGCCUGCGGGUUGUAAACCUCUUUUCUCAGGGAAGAAGCUCUGACGGUACCUGAGGAAUAAGCAUCGGCUAACUCCGUGCCAGCAGCCGCGGUAAGACGGAGGAUGCAAGCGUUAUCCGGAAUUAUUGGGCGUAAAGCGUCCGUAGGCGGUCCAUCAAGUCUGCUGUUAAAGACUGGGGCUUAACCCUGGGGAGGCGGUGGAAACUGAAGGACUAGAGAGCGGUAGGGGUAGAGGGAAUUCCCAGUGUAGCGGUGAAAUGCGUAGAUAUUGGGAAGAACACCAGUGGCGAAGGCGCUCUACUGGGCCGUUGCUGACGCUGAUGGACGAAAGCUAGGGGAGCGAAAGGGAUUAGAUACCCCUGUAGUC